GUAUGUGUUAUAUCAUGAAAAAAUUUAGAAUGAAGCGCGCAUUUCUUCCCUCUAUUUUUUUCACCAAAUUUUUGAAGUGUUUACUUCCCUCUAUUCACAAUGCAUUCUCACAGUACCCAUUCUCAUUUCUCACAGUACCCAUUUUAUCAUAGUACACGCUUUCUCCAUUUUCCCCAAUUCUCCAUUUUCCCCAAUUCUCAUAUUUGCUUCAAUUCUCCAUUUUCCCCAAUUCUCAUAGUUAAUAAAGUGUGGGUAAAUUAAUUGAAUGUAGGCUUCAUAAAUUGAUACUUCAUAGAAUUAUUCCCAUGCAAUUGCUUCUCCAAUUUACACAAAUGAACUUAAUUUCAAUUGGAAGGCAGGACAUGGCGGGGGAUGCUUAGGCUACGACGAACGGCGGUGCUCAGGCAACGACGAACGGCUUCGCUCAUGCCUUGGUAAACGGGAAUGCUCAUCAGGCAAGAAUAUUCAAUCGAGGCGCAAAUGAUAGUGGAAAGUCUUGUUCCUCUGAAGAGGAAAUAUGAGUUAAGGGACAUUCUUAGCUAAUUGGUGUAGACAUAUACAUUGUUGAUGUCUUAGAGGCCAUGCUUGCUAG